rnacentral:rRNA from 1 species
AACGAACGCUGGCGGCAUGCCUAACACAUGCAAGUCGAACGAGACCUUCGGGUCUAGUGGCGCACGGGUGCGUAACGCGUGGGAUCCUGCCCUUAGGUUCGGAAUAACUCCCUGAAAGGGGUGCUAAUACCGGGUAAUGUCUUCGGACCAAAGAUUUAUCGCCUUUGGAUGGGCCCGCGUUGGAUUAGCUAGUUGGUAGGGUAAAAGCCUACCAAGGCGACGAUCCAUAGCUGGUCUGAGAGGAUGCUCAGCCACACUGGGACUGAGACACGGCCCAGACUCCUACGGGGGGCAGGAGUGGGGAAUAUUGGAGAAUGGGCGAAAACCUGAUCCAGCAAUGCCGGGGGAGUGAUGAAGGCCGUAGGGUUGUAAAGCUCUUUUACCCGGGAUGAUAAUGACAGUACCGGGAGAAUAAGCACCGGCUAACUCCGUG